GCCAGUGUGGUGUAGUGGUUUGCGUAUUGGACUAGGACUCUGGAGAUCAGGGUUCGAAUUCUAGUUUGGCC